UACGUAGGGGGCGAGCGUUGUCCGGAUUUAUUGGGCGUAAAGAGCGUGUAGGCGGCCAGGUAGGUCCGUUGUGAAAACUCGAGGCUCAACCUCGAGACGUCGAUGGAAACCAUCUGGCUAGAGUCCGGAAGAGGAGAGUGGAAUUCCUGGUGUAGCGGUGAAAUGCGUAGAUAUCUGGAGGAAUACCGGUGGCGAAGGCGGGUCUCUGGGCAAUUCCUGACGCUGAGGCGCGAAAGCGUGGGGAGCAAACGGG
rnacentral:rRNA from 1 species